AUGUUAUUUUUCAAUCUUGGCUUGCACUUCAUAAAUCCCUGUCUGCAGCUUCUGCUUUGUCUCCAUAUUCAUAUCCGAGUGCUGUCAUAUUUGCUGGUUUUCUUAAGAAUUGUGCUGCUGGUGUUCAGACAAUUCACUGCUGCCAUGAUGGUGGCAUCGCUGCAGGGCGGUUGUGCUGUGUUUGCAGUGACAGAGCCUGAUGUUCAAAGCUUGGCUUCAUCCAGUUGCUUUAAUGGGAUAGCAAGUGAAUGCCUGCCUGCAAGCUACAGCAGCCGCGAUGCCAAGUCUGCUAAGGAAGCCUGCAUUUCAGAGGUUGGGAACCCUGAGGACAUAACUUUCAAUGGACUGACCUGAUGGAAAAAUUAACAUGAAAUGUAUGUAGCAAGAUAUAUGUAUAUGCAUUUUUGUUUGGCAUGCCCUAGGAAAGGUUCAAAAGUAAUGGUAGUUUGGAACACACUGGUAUUCAGAAUUAUGCAGGUGCUUUGGAAGGAGGGACAGUGCAAAACUCAUUUUCUGAUGCACACUACAAGGUACAAUAGUGGGUGGGUGGGUGGUUGUGCAUGCUUGAGAGAGAGCAAAUUAUCCAGAAUUAAUAUUUUUUGAGUUGAGUGCUGAGUAAAAGGACCAGAGGUCUACUGCUGCAAUCCUCCACAGGGUUCAAUUGCACCACCAACUAUAAUGUACCUGGUCCUCUGAGGCAGUAAUUAUUAAUGAUAUUACUCCCUAUCUGCAUCAGGGUAACUCAGAGACCUGUGUAUUUAAUAAAUCACAUUUGGAAAUGAACUUGCA
rnacentral:lncRNA from 1 species